rnacentral:rRNA from 1 species
AUUGAACGCUGGCGGCAGGCCUAACACAUGCAAGUCGAGCGGAUGAAGGGAGCUUGCUCCUGGAUUCAGCGGCGGACGGGUGAGUAAUGCCUAGGAAUCUGCCUGGUAGUGGGGGAUAACGUCCGGAAACGGGCGCUAAUACCGCAUACGUCCUGAGGGAGCAAGUGGGGGAUCUUCGGACCUCACGCUAUCAGAUGAGCCUAGGUCGGAUUAGCUAGUUGGUGGGGUAAAGGCCUACCAAGGCGACGAUCCGUAACUGGUCUGAGAGGAUGAUCAGUCACACUGGAACUGAGACACGGUCCGGACUCCUACGGGAGGCAGCAGUGGGGAAUAUUGGACAAUGGGCGAAAGCCUGAUCCAGCCAUGCCGCGUGUGUGAAGAAGGUCUUCGGAUUGUAAAGCACUUUAAGUUGGGAGGAAGGGCAGUAAGUUAAUACCUUGCUGUUUUGACGUUACCAACAGAAUAAGCACCGGCUAACUUCGUG